UUAUGGCCAUAUCACGUUGAAACACCGGCUCUCGUUCGAUCACCGAAGUUAAGCAACGUUGAGCCUGAAUAAUACUUAGAUGAGCGACCGCAUACCAGGUGCUGUAAG